AACGAACGCCGGCGGCAUGCCUAACACAUGCAAGUCGAACGGGAUCCUAGCUUGCUAGGUGAGAGUGGCGGACGGGUGAGUAACACGUGGGAAUCUGCCUUUUGGUUCGGGAUAACCGCGGGAAACUGCGGCUAAUACCGAAUGCCCUCGAGAGAGGAAAGAUUUAUCGCCAGAAGAGGAGCCCGCGUCCGAUUAGGUAGUUGGUGGGGUAAAGGCCUACCAAGCCGACGAUCGGUAGCUGGUCUGAGAGGAUGAUCAGCCACACUGGGACUGAGAUACGGCCCAGACUCCUACGGGAGGCAGCAGUGGGGAAUAUUGGACAAUGGGGGCAACCCUGAUCCAGCAAUGCCGCGUGAGUGAUGAAGGCCUUAGGGUUGUAAAGCUCUUUUGCCAGGGAAGAUGAUGACUGUACCUGGAGAAUAAGCCCCGGCUAACUUCGUGCCAGCAGCCGCGGUAAU
rnacentral:rRNA from 1 species